GCGCUGGUGGUGUAGGGGUUCAGUGCAUGACCAUAUAUAGAGGCUAUGGUCCUCGAUGCAGCCGUACCGGGUUCGAGUCCCAGACCCGGUGCG